ensembl:lncRNA
CAACUCUACAGCUAACAGUUACUACCCAUAGAGUCAGCUCUACAGCUAACAGUUACUACCCAUAGAGUCAGCUCUAAGGCUAACAGUUACUACCCAUAGAGUCAGCUCUACAGCUAACAGUUACUACCCAUAGAGUCAGCUCUACAGCUAACAGUUACUACCCAUAGAGUCAGCUCUACGGCUAACAGUUACUACCCAUAGAGUCAGCUCUAAGGCUAACAGUUACUACCCAUAGAGUCAGCUCUACAGCUAACAGUUACUACCCAUAGUCAGCUCUACAGCUAACAGUUACUACCCAUAGAGUCAGCUCUACAGCUAACAGUUACUACCCAUAGAGUCAGCUCUAAGGCUAACAGUUACUACCCAUAGAGUCAGCUCUACAGCUAACAGUUACUACCCAUAGAGUCAGCUCUAAGGCUAACAGUUACUACCCAUAGAGUCAGCUC